GGGGACGAUACAAAAGGUUUCGACGGAAAACGUACUUUGAAAUCUGCAAGCCGAGUAUAACACUUCUCGUAAAUCACGUGUUAAAAACAUAAUUGCUGAUCGCGAUUAUAAUUACGCCUACGCCUAAAAAACGGACGCGUUGUCUUGCCGGAUACGAUUCUCAACCGCGCUGGUGAGGCAUAAACCCAGUUGAGAUGCGGAAAGUAUGUCUGGUUUUAUAUACUUUCCCAAGAUUUAAAACCAAAUUCCUAACUUUUUCUUUGGUUUUUAAUUUUAGGAAUAAAACCAAAGCCAAAUACGCUUGUAGAAGAUUUUAAAUUAGUUUUUCGGACGAGGGUUCGAAUCCCUCCGUCUCCACAC
rnacentral:tmRNA from 5 species